rnacentral:rRNA from 1 species
UACGGAGGGUGCAAGCGUUAUCCGGAUUCACUGGGUUUAAAGGGUGCGUAGGUGGUUUGGUAAGUCAGUGGUGAAAUCUCCGGGCUUAACCCGGAAACUGCCAUUGAUACUAUCAGUCUUGAAUACCGUGGAGGUCAGUAGAAUAUGUCAUGUAGCGGUGAAAUGCUUAGAUAUGACAUAGAAUACCAAUUGCGAAGGCAGCUGGCUACACGAAUAUUGACACUCAGGCACGAAAGCGUGGGGAUCAAACAGG